GCAACGCCGCGUGAGGGAUGAAGGCCUCUGGGCUGUAAACCUCUUUUCUCAAGGAAGAAGAUCUGACGGUACUUGAGGAAUAAGCCACGGCUAAUUCCGUGCCAGCAGCCGCGGUAAUACGGGAGUGGCAAGCGUUAUCCGGAAUUAUUGGGCGUAAAGCGUCCGCAGGCGGCCUCGUAAGUCUGUCGUUAAAGCGUGGAGCUUAACUCCAUUUCAGCGAUGGAAACUGCGAGGCUUGAGUGUGGUAGGGGCAGAGGGAAUUCCCGGUGUAGCGGUGAAAUGCGUAGAUAUCGGGAAGAACACCAGUGGCGAAGGCGCUCUGCUGGGCCAUAACUGACGCUCAUGGACGAAAGCCAGGGGAGCG
rnacentral:rRNA from 1 species